GACGAACGCUGGCGGCGUGCUUAACACAUGCAAGUCGAACGAUGAAGCUAGAGCUUGCUCUGGUGAAUUAGUGGCGAACGGGUGAGUAACACGUGAGUAACCUGCCCCGAACUCUGGGAUAACUGCUGGAAACGGUAGCUAAUACUGGAUACGACCUACGAAGGCAUCUUCUGUAGGUGGAAAGAAUUUCGGUUCGGGAUGGACUCGCGGCCUAUCAGCUUGUUGGUGAGGUAAUGGCUCACCAAGGCGACGAGGGGUAGCCGGCCGGAGAGGGUGACCGGCCACACUGGGACUGAGACGCGGCCCGGACUCCUACGGGAGGCAGCAGUGGGGAAUAUUGCACAAUGGGCGCAAGCCUGAUGCAGCAACGCCGCGUGAGGGAUGACGGCCUUCGGGUUGUAAACCUCUUUUAGUAGGGAAGAAGCGAAAGUGACGGUACCUGCAGAAAAAGCACCGGCUAACUACGUGCCAGCCGCCGCCGUAA
rnacentral:rRNA from 1 species